rnacentral:misc_RNA from 1 species
GCGCCUGUGUGACGCGAACGAUGCCCAAAUCUACCGUGUUGAAGGCGAUGUCAGGCGAAAAGUCGCAAGCUAUGGAAACAUACCCGUCGAUCUUUCCGUCGGCGAGACCCGAUCUUUGAGUCGCGGUUCGGUUAGUGGCCGUGCCAUCCUCGACCGGCAGAUCGUCCAUAUGCAGGAUAUGAUGGCCGAGCGCGAAGAAAAUUAUGCCGACGCCUG